UUAUUCAGAAAGGAGCAGAUU
rnacentral:miRNA from 1 species